CCCUUAGAUGUCCUGGGCCGCACGCGCGCUACACUGAUGCAUGCAACGAGUUUAUAACCUUGGCCUGAAAGGUCUGGGUAAUCUUUUGAACGUGCAUCGUGAUAGGGAUAGAUUAUUGCAAUUGUUAAUCUUGAACGAGGAAUUCCUAGUAAACGCGGGUCAUCCGCUCGCAUUGAUUACGUCCCUGCCCUUUGUACACACCGCCCGUCGCACCUACCGAUUGAAUGGUUCGGUGAAGAUCUCGGACUUCGAUAUUUAUUCUUUAUUGAGUUUAUAUUGUGGGAAGUUAUCUAAACCUCAUCAUUUAGAGGAAGGUGAAGUCGUAACA
rnacentral:rRNA from 1 species